rnacentral:lncRNA from 1 species
AGGUAAAAAAGAAAGAGGAAUCAAAGAAAAGAAAGGAAGGGCAGAAAAUAAAAGAAAGAAAAGUGAGAACAAGGAAAAGAGAGAGCAAGAUUCAGAGGCAGGGAAGACCUGAGUCUGGGAAGAGGGCAGGAAUGUACCCUAUGGGGCUGAGGCGUGUCCCUUCAUGUCACAUCCUGGUGCUGGUGGUGACCUGAUUUUGACUCAUCCAAAAAAUGAUCAAAAGAGAGGGAAACAAAGACUAGGACAUCUAGCACAAUGUUGAAAAGUAUGGCCCAGACCCUAUCAGAAUAAUCCCAGCCCAUCAUAGCAAAAUUGGUGAAAACAAAAAAAAAGGGAAAAAUGACAAAACAGCCAGAGGAAAAAGACAUCUAUUUUCAAAAGAUUAAUAAUAAGGCAAAUGGCUGACUUUUCAACAGAAGCAAUAGAAACCAAAGACAAUAGAGUGACAUAUUGAAAUUGCUGAAAGAAAAUUACUGCCAAUCUAGGGUUCUGUAUCUAGAGAAAAUAUCUUUCAAAAAUGAAAAUGAAAUAAAUAUGUUUUUGGAUGAA